rnacentral:lncRNA from 1 species
GUAAGAGGCACACAGCCAUCUGCACUUUGAAAACAAAGAGGUACCAAAGACAGCAACUGCAGGAAAAGAAAUUUAGAAGGAAGAGAAGCUGGAGAAGAUCAUGCUGUAGAAGAUGUGACACAAUGCUCCAAAGAAAUUUCUCCAAAGUCACAGGGAUUUCCAGGUAAAGCUGCUGCUUUGGAAGCUAAACUGUAUCCUGAAUGCUGAGGAAGCUCUGGAAGACUAAACAUGCUGGACUUAAAAUUCUGUGUUUUCUAAAUCUAUGCUCUGUUGCUGAAUACUUUUGAAAUUAAAAAAAAACCCUUCCCAAGCCCAGUGAUAAAUUCAGUAGGGAAUCUGUUUCUUCCUCUAAUGUGGCCCUUGCUUUUUAUGCCAAUGAUUUUCCCCUCCACUUCUUUCCCUAGUUCCUCU